AGUGAACGCUGGCGGUAGGCCUAACACAUGCAAGUCGAACGGCAGCACAGUAAGAGCUUGCUCUUACGGGUGGCGAGUGGCGGACGGGUGAGGAAUACAUCGGAAUCUACUUUUUCGUGGGGGAUAACGUAGGGAAACUUACGCUAAUACCGCAUACGACCUACGGGUGAAAGCAGGGGAUCUUCGGACCUUGCGCGAUUGAAUGAGCCGAUGUCGGAUUAGCUAGUUGGCGGGGUAAAGGCCCACCAAGGCGACGAUCCGUAGCUGGUCUGAGAGGAUGAUCAGCCACACUGGAACUGAGACACGGUCCAGAAUCCUACGGGAGGCAGCAGUGGGGAAUAUUGGACAAGGGGCGCAAGCAUGAUCCAGCCAUACCGCGGGGGUGAAGAAGGCCUUCGGGUUGUAAAGCCCUUUUGUUGGGAAAGAAAAGCAGCAGGUUAAUACCCCGCUGUUCUGACGGUACCCAAAGAAUAAGCACCGGCUAACUUCGU
rnacentral:rRNA from 1 species